rnacentral:rRNA from 1 species
UAGGGAAUCUUCCACAAUGGGCGAAAGCCUGAUGGAGCAACGCCGCGUGUGUGAUGAAGGGUUUCGGCUCGUAAAACACUGUUGUAAGAGAAGAAUGACAUUGAGAGUAACUGUUCAAUGUGUGACGGUAUCUUACCAGAAAGGAACGGCUAAAUACGUACCACGC